rnacentral:misc_RNA from 1 species
GAUGAAGAACGUAGCGAAAUGCGAUAAGUAAUGUGAAUUGCAGAAUUCAGUGAAUCAUCGAAUCUUUGAACGCACAUUGCGCCCGCCAGUAUUCUGGCGGGCAUGCCUGUUCGAGCGUCAUUUCAACCCUCAGGACCCUUUGGACCUGGUGUUGGGGCUCGGCCGCUACCCCGCGGCCGUCCCCGAAAGAUAGUGGCGGUCUCGUUGUAGCGUCCUCUGCGUAGUAAUUACACCUCGCACUGGAACGCGGCGCGGCCACGCCGUUAAACACCCCACUUCUCAAGGUUGACCUCGGAUCAGGUAGGAAUACCCGCUGAACUUAAGCAUAUCAAUAAGCGGAGGA